rnacentral:rRNA from 1 species
AAAAACGCGUUAAAGCCACCCACCACUAACCCCCACCUAAUACCGCACCACUUAAAUAACCCCUAAUCACUAUUAGACGACUCCAUAACCUCAUGGAAGACAUUAUGCUUGAACUAGUAACAAGAAUAUGUAAUUCUCCUAAUACAGGUAUAAGCCGUAAUAGACAAACCAACGGCAAUUAACGUCAAUAAGCCCAACACAGCAACCCCUCCCCCGAAAAUCCUGUUAACCUAGACGUUAAUCUUACACAAGAGUAUUUCAGGAAAGAUUAAAAGGCGGAGAAGGAACUCGGCAAAUAACAACCCCGCCUGUUUACCAAAAACAUCGCCUCUUGCUUAAACAUAAGAGGUCCAGCCUGCCCAGUGACUCUUCAACGGCCACGGUACCCUAACCGUGCUAAGGUAGCGCAAUUACUUGUCCUUUAAAUGAGGACCCGAAUGAAUGGCAUCACGAGGGUUAUACUGUCUCCUCCCCCCAAUCAGUGAAACUGACCUCCCUGUGAAAAGGCAGGAAUAAUAAUAUUAGACGAGAAGACCCCAUGGAGCUUUAGACUUUGAGCAAGUUAGACAUUCCAAGUCAAAACCUAUGCCCCCACAGUCUUCGGCUGGGGCGAUCAUGGAGUAAAAAACAACCUCCAUGCCGAAUGGAUAAUUCCUUAUCUACGAGCCACACCUCCAAGAAACAGAAUACUGACGCCCGCUGAUCCGGACUCCGAUCAACGAACCAAGUUACCCUGGGGAUAACAGCGCUAUCUACCUCGAGAGUUCAUAUCGACAGGUGGGUUUACGACCUCGAUGUUGGAUCAGGGUGUCCUGGUGGUGCAGCCGCUACAUAAGUCGUUUGU